rnacentral:rRNA from 1 species
UACGUAGGGUGCAAGCGUUGUCCGGAAUUAUUGGGCGUAAAGAGCUCGUAGGCGGUUUGUCGCGUCGGCUGUGAAAACUCGGGGCUCAACCCCGAGCCUGCAGUCGAUACGGGCAGACUAGAGUGCGGUAGGGGAGGCUGGAAUUCCUGGUGUAGCGGUGAAAUGCGCAGAUAUCAGGAGGAACACCGGUGGCGAAGGCGGGUCUCUGGCCCGUUUCUGACGCUGCAGCGCGAAAGCGUGGGGAUCAAACAGG